GAUGAACGCUGGCGGCGUGCCUAAUACAUGCAAGUCGAGCGAACAGACGAGGAGCUUGCUCCUCUGACGUUAGCGGCGGACGGGUGAGUAACACGUGGAUAACCUACCUAUAAGACUGGGAUAACUUCGGGAAACCGGAGCUAAUACCGGAUAAUAUAUUGAACCGCAUGGUUCAAUAGUGAAAGACGGUUUUGCUGUCACUUAUAGAUGGAUCCGCGCCGCAUUAGCUAGUUGGUAAGGUAACGGCUUACCAAGGCAACGAUGCGUAGCCGACCUGAGAGGGUGAUCGGCCACACUGGAACUGAGACACGGUCCAGACGCCUACGGGAGGCAGCAGUAGGGAAUCGUCCGCAAUGGGCGAAAGCCUGACGGAGCAACGCCGCGUGAGUGAUGAAGGUCUUCGGAUCGUAAAACUCUGUUAUUAGGGAAGAACAAAUGUGUAAGUAACUAUGCACGUCUUGACGGUACCUAAUCAGAAAGCCACGGCUAACUACGUG
rnacentral:rRNA from 1 species